UACGAAGGGGGCUAGCGUUGUUCGGAAUUACUGGGCGUAAAGCGCGCGUAGGCGGGUAGAUAAGUUAGAGGUGAAAUCCCAGGGCUCAACCCUGGAACUGCCUUUAAUACUGUCUAUCUGGAGUAUGGAAGAGGUGAGUGGAAUUCCGAGUGUAGAGGUGAAAUUCGUAGAUAUUCGGAGGAACAUCAGUGGCGAAGGCGGCUCACUGGUCCAUUACUGACGCUGAGGUGCGAAAGCGUGGGGAGCAAACAGG
rnacentral:rRNA from 1 species